rnacentral:lncRNA from 1 species
UCAAGUUUGCUGGAUUGAUGAAAACACUUAGUGUAUUACCCCAAUGUUUUGAAGGUUUAGUGGAGGAGUUUGUGGUGAAUAUCCCAGAGGAUAUUUUUGACAAGAAUAACAAAGAAUUCUGCAAGGUCUUUGUGAGAAGAAGGUGUGUAAGGUUCUCCUCAACUAUAAUGAAUAAGUUCCUAGGGAGAGGAACAGAAGGAGUUGUUGAGUUAGAAGCCACAGACAAUG